UCUGGUGAUCAUAGCGCAGUGGCACCACCCGGUCCCAUCCCGAACCCGGAAGUGAAACGCUGUCGCGCCGAUGGUAGUGCGGCGAAAGGCCGUGUGAGAGUAGGUCGUUGCCAGAU
rnacentral:rRNA from 1 species